ensembl:lncRNA
AAGAAUAAACUGGAAUCCUUCAAAACGCCCGGCUUAUACACGUCGUGGGUUUUUUUGUUUUCUUUCAUUUGUCUGCCCGAAGGAUUUUUCACCAUACUGCAGGUGCACACAACGUGCUCAGACUCAACCCGGUUUCCUUCUCUUGCAUUAAAACCACGGAGAGAGGCAGGUUGCUCCUCAGGAUCCUUACAUCAAAUCAGCGUACCUCGAGGAGCAGUAAUUCAUUAAGCAGUAUUCAAUCAAACAUCCGUGUUUGUGACCUCUGGUUACACACAUUUCCAAGUGCUGGUACACUGUUUUCGGUGAGAGGGGCUGAAGAGACAAGAAGAACCUUCCAGUUGUUUUUGGAAAGUGGAAGGCUCUGCACAGGGAUGAUGUUUCCAAGAAGUCAAAUGUGCAUCACGGAGAGGGAAGGGGUUGUGUAUCACUCAGCCUUAAAACUCCCAUGAAGGGAAAGGACCUCUCUUGUCCAGCUACUGCUGCCAACACAAAGAAGUCAUAGGAUCAUAGAACGCCCCAGGUUUCUCAGGUGUACAACUAAAUGGGAGUGACUGGAGCAUAUCAAGGAGAUGUCAUGUCAGCCCUGAAAGAAAACGAUCAGGGGAACAAGGAACUAUCUGGUGCUUCUCUGGUUUUGUCCUGAAAUCUCACUGUGAGCAGUGGAAUGCUGCUGUGGGCAGGGAGCACGCCUGCUUCCUGCACGCCACACAGGCCCCAUGUGCCAUAAAGAUGUCAGCCCGGAGGCAGAGAUCAUCCCUCCAUUUGUUUAACAGCACUCCCCACGCACAGAGCCCAGCACAACGAGUUCCAACGUCUGGGAAAAGCGUUUGCACCAGGCGGUCCAUCACCUGCAGAUCUGAUGCCCGGUACAGCCACGAGGGAAGGCGAUGGGUUUUCACCUGGUGUAAUUUACUGCUGGUCUUUUGGCCUCAAAACAGCGAGACAGGUCCAGACCCUCCGUUUGAAUUCCUGUAAAUCUGAGGGCCGUGGCAGAACGCUCCACCUGAAGCAAUGGGCCCUUCCCGCUGCGAUUUGCUGCUAUGAAUUGCUUUCCUCAGUGCCUGUGACAAAUUUUUAUUGAUGUCAAUGCGAGCCAAGGACCUGAAGCAAGAUCUGCUUCUGCUACUGAUUAAAAGAAAAAGAAUGAGGGGAGGAAGGAGAGAGAAAACCGAAGCGUUCCGUAACAUAUUUAAGUAUUAACGUUGCCACAGUUUUAUUAUCUGUAUAGUGAAAGUAAACACAAAACGAUUGAAAUACAUCUCAGUGGCAUCUACGUCCAAUUUCUCUCUGCUUGUUGCAUUUUCUUGGAAUUACUCAUUUAUUUUGAUCACAAAAACAUUUAAAGUAAUUUGUCGAGAGUU